rnacentral:lncRNA from 1 species
CUUGUGUACAAUUUGGAAAUUAGUAUGGCGUUCAUUAUCACUGGACUAGUGUAUAUUUGUUUAGGGGCCAGCUGAAGGACGCCUCCGGGUGUGGGAAUUUCUCGCUACAUUGAAGACCUGUUGGUGACCCUCUGCUGUUGUUUUUUAUUUGGUCGGGUUGUUGUCUCUUUGACACAUUCCCCAUUUCCAUUCUCAAUUUUAUAGUU